CACGCCGUAAACGAUGAGUGCUAAGUGUUAGGGUCUUUCGGCCCUUUAGUGGUGCAGCUAACGCAUUAAGCAGUCCGCCUGGGGAGUACGGUCGCAAGACUGAAACUCAAAGGAAUUGACGGGGGCCCGCACAAGCGGUGGAGCAUGUGGUUUAAUUCGAAGCAACGCGAAGAACCUUACCAGGUCUUGACAUCCUCUGACAACCCUAGAGAUAGGGCUUUCCUUUCGGAGACAGAGUGACCAGGUGGGCCAUGGUUGUCGUCAGCUCGUGUCGUGAGAUGUGGGGUUAAGUCCCCGCAACGAGGCCACCCUUGUAUUUAAGUGCCCAGCAUUCAGUUGGGCACUCUAAGGAGACUGCCGGUGACAAACCGGAGGAAGGUGGGGAUGACGUCAAAUCAUCAUGCCCCUUAUGACCUGGGCUACACACGUGCUACAAUGGACAGAACAAAGGGUUGCAAGGCCGCAAGGUUUAGCCAAUCCCAAAGCCAUUCUCAGUUCGGAUCGCAGUCUGCAACUCGACUGCGUGAAGUCGGAAUCGCUAGUAAUCGCGGAUCAGCAUGCCGCCGAUUCCC
rnacentral:rRNA from 1 species